AGGUGGUGCAUGGUUGUCGUCAGCUCGUGUCGUGAGAUGUUGGGUUAAGUCCCGCAACGAGCGCAACCCCUAUUGUAGUUGCCAUCAUUCAGUUGGGCACUCUAGCGAGACUGCCGGUAAUAAACCGGAGGAAGGUGGGGAUGACGUCAAAUCAUCAUGCCCCUUAUGACCUGGGCUACACACGUGCUACAAUGGUUGGUACAACGAGUUGCGAGUCGGUGACGGCGAGCUAAUCUCUUAAAGCCAAUCUCAGUUCGGAUUGUAGGCUGCAACUCGCCUACAUGAAGUCGGAAUCGCUAGUAAUCGCGGAUCAGCACGCCGCGGUGAAUACGUUCCCGGGCCUU
rnacentral:rRNA from 1 species